UACGUAGGGGGCAAGCGUUGUCCGGAAUCAUUGGGCGUAAAGAGCGUGUAGGCGGCUCGAUAAGUCCGCUGUGAAAGUCCAGGGCUCAACCCUGGAAGGCCGGUGGAAACUGUCGGGCUAGAGUCCGGAAGAGGCGAGUGGAAUUCCCGGUGUAGCGGUGAAAUGCGCAGAUAUCGGGAGGAACACCAAUGGCGAAGGCAGCUCGCUGGGACGGUACUGACGCUGAGGCGCGAAAGCGUGGGGAGCAACAGG
rnacentral:rRNA from 1 species